rnacentral:rRNA from 1 species
AGAGUUUGAUCCUGGCUCAGAACGAACGCUGGCGGCGUGGAUAAGACAUGCAAGUCGAACGCUAAUUACAAGGUAGCAAUAUCCUGUAGUUGGAGUGGCGCAAGGGUGCGUAACACGUGGGUAAUUUGCCGUGAAGCCCGGAAUAACUCGCUGAAAGGCGAGCUAAUACCGGAUGUGAAAUUCGAAAGGCAUCUUUCGAAUUUUAAAGCUGGGGACCGCAAGGCCUGGCACUUCUCGAUAAGCCCGCGGCCUAUCAGCUAGUUGGUGAGGUAAAAGCUCACCAAGGCUAAGACGGGUAGCUGGUCUGAGAGGACGACCAGUCACACUGGAACUGAGACACGGUCCAGACACCUACGGGUGGCAGCAGUCGAGAAUUUUUCUCAAUGGGCGAAAGCCUGAAGGAGCGACGCCGCGUGGGGGAUGAAUGGCUUCGGCCCGUAAACCCCUGUCAUUUGCGAACAAACCUUGUGAUUUAAAAGAUGACAAGCUGAUUGUAGCGAAAGAGGAAGGGACGGCUAACUCUGUGCCAGCAGCCGCGGUAAUACAGAGGUCCCAAGCGUUGUUCGGAUUCACUGGGCGUAAAGGGUGCGUAGGUGGUCGGGUAAGUCUGAUGUGAAAUCUCCGAGCUCAACUCGGAAACUGCAUCGGAUACUAUUCGGCUAGAGGGUUGGAGGGGGGACUGGAAUACUUGGUGUAGCAGUGAAAUGCGUAGAUAUCAAGUGGAACACCAGUGGCGAAGGCGAGUCCCUGGACAACUCCUGACACUGAGGCACGAAAGCUAGGGGAGCAAACAGGAUUAGAUACCCUAGUAGUCC